rnacentral:lncRNA from 1 species
CAAAGGGUUAGCUUGGGGCUACUUAUAGCCUCAAGCACCGUGUGAUGCUCUAGGACCCAUUUUCUGGGGAGUUACAAACUUGGUAUCAGAGACCAAGGUUUUAAGGCAUCCUAGGGAGUCUGACAAGCCACGUUAAGUAGAGUAUUGAUCAUCGGUGUGUAGUGCACCACAUCUAUAAGAAAGAGGAUGCAGGACAUUUUAGGAAAAA